rnacentral:lncRNA from 1 species
GAUAUAAAAAUAUCAACAUAUGACUUCGUCGUUCAUUCUUAUAUCAAAUUCAUCAACCUAUGUAAUAUCCAAAGUCCCAUAAAUCACAUUAUAGACAAAAAAAACAAUAAAAUCCCGUAAACAAAACUAUACAAUGCACCUAUAAUGUAGUCGAUCCUGCGCUUGCGCGGAGACUAUGCACCUGGUAGAAGUAAUAAGACAGAAAACGCGUGCAACAGCCGGAGAUUUCGGAUUCGGUCGUAUCCUUUUCAUUUGUCUCAGCCAUUAAUUCCCAAAACCAUAUCUUCUCUUCCUCAUCCAUCCUUUUCGCUACUUGAAUAUAAACUACAUAAAAAUUCAAUCGUUUUAUGUAUGGACGUAUGAUCACGCUAUUACCUUUACAUUUUUGAUAAUAAAACCUUUGAAGAUCUAAAUCCAAAUUCUUUUUGGUCAAACGGAAAUUCUGAGCAUUAUACUUCUAUUAGAUGUGCCCACUAUAUUUUUUCUAUUUGUAUAGGCACAUUUGGUUUAAACUAGGAGAUAUCCCG